CUUGCCGCCGGCGACCGGCGCACGGGUGAGUAACACGUAUGCAACCUGGCCGUGACAGAUGGAUAACCGGGAGAAAUCCCGCCUAAUACAACAUAAUGCCGGGAGGGGACAUCCCCUGCCGGCCAAAGGGGGCGACCCCGGUCACGGAUGGGCAUGCGGCGCAUUAGGUAGUUGGUGGGGCAACGGCCCACCAAGCCGACGAUGCGUAGGGGUUCUGAGAGGAAGGUCCCCCACAUUGGAACUGAGACACGGUCCAAACUCCUACGGAAGGCAGCAG
rnacentral:rRNA from 1 species